rnacentral:rRNA from 4 species
UGACCUCGGAUCAGGUAGGAAUACCCGCUGAACUUAAGCAUAUCAAUAAGCGGAGGAAAAGAAACCAACAGGGAUUGCCUCAGUAACGGCGAGUGAAGCGGCAACAGCUCAAAUUUGAAAUCUGGCCCUAGGCCCGAGUUGUAAUUUGCA